CACAGGCACUGAAAUGUUCUGGGUGGUCCCAGAAACCAGGAUGAAUCUUUCUUGUCAUUACACUGAGCUUGACGGUGGGAACCGCGAGGAGCUCGAUGGUGACUGUGCACGUCGCUGUGUGAAUGACAGAGGAUGCAUGGAGGUCUCCGGCAGCUGGCAGCCACAGAUCCGUGUCCUCCUCGGUGCAGCAGCGGCGGCAGCGGGCGUCCUCUCCGCGGGCUCUUCCACCUGAGCCAGCGGCAUCAUGGGAAGCUCCUCCUCCUCCCUCGUUGACGAGGCGGAGGACGAUGCGGCGCCCCGGGGUGCAGCUCUGCCUCCCUCCC
ensembl:lncRNA